rnacentral:rRNA from 1 species
GAUGAACGCUGGCGGCGUGCCUAAUACAUGCAAGUCGAGCGAACGGACGAGAAGCUUGCUUCUCUGAUGUUAGCGGCGGACGGGUGAGUAACACGUGGAUAACCUACCUAUAAGACUGGGAUAACUUCGGGAAACCGGAGCUAAUACCGGAUAAUAUUUUGAACCGCAUGGUUCAAAAGUGAAAGACGGUCUUGCUGUCACUUAUAGAUGGAUCCGCACUGCAUUAGCUAGUUGGUAAGGUAACGGCUUACCAAGGCAACGAUGCAUAGCCGACCUGAGAGGGUGAUCAGCCACACUGGAACUGAGACACGGUCCAGACUCCUACGGGAGGCAGCAGUAGGGAAUAUUCCGCAAUGGGCGAAAGCCUGACGGAGCAACGCCGCGUGAGUGAUGAAGGUCUUCGGAUCGUAAAACUCUGUUAUUAGGGAAGAACAUAUGUGUAAGUAACUGUGCACAUCUUGACGGUACCUAAUCAGAAAGCCACGGCUAACUACGUG